rnacentral:misc_RNA from 1 species
UUUCCGUAGGUGAACCUGCGGAAGGAUCAUUAAAAAUGAAGCCGGGAAACCGGUCCUUCUAACCCUUGAUUAUCUUAAUUUGUUGCUUUGGUGGGCCGCGCAAGCACCGGCUUCGGCUGGAUCGUGCCCGCCAGGGGACACAACUCUGUAUCAAAUGUCGUCUGAGUACUAUAAAAUAGUUAAAACUUUCAACAACGGAUCUCUUGGUUCUG